rnacentral:rRNA from 1 species
AUUGAACGCUGGCGGCAGGCCUAACACAUGCAAGUCGAGCGUGAAAGUUCCUUCGGGAGCGAGUAGAGCGGCGGACGGGUGAGUAACGCGUAGGAAUCUGCCCAGUAGUGGGGGACAACAUGGGGAAACUCAUGCUAAUACCGCAUACGCCCUAAGGGGGAAAGCAGGGGAUCUUCGGACCUUGCGCUAUUGGAUGAGCCUGCGUCGGAUUAGCUAGUUGGUGGGGUAAUGGCCUACCAAGGCGACGAUCCGUAGCUGGUCUGAGAGGAUGAUCAGCCACACUGGGACUGAGACACGGCCCAGACUCCUACGGGAGGCAGCAGUGGGGAAUAUUGGACAAUGGGGGAAACCCUGAUCCAGCCAUGCCGCGUGUGUGAAGAAGGCCUUCGGGUUGUAAAGCACUUUCAAUAGGGAGGAAAAGUUAAUGGCUAAUACCCAUUAACCCUGACGUUACCUAUAGAAGAAGCACCGGCAAACUCCGUGCCAGCAGCCGCGGUAAUACGGAGGGUGCGAGCGUUAAUCGGAAUUACUGGGCGUAAAGCGCGCGUAGGCGGUUUGAUUAGCUGGAUGUGAAAGCCCCGGGCUUAACCUGGGAAUUGCAUCCAGAACUGUCAGGCUAGAGUACAGUAGAGGUGAGUGGAAUUUCCUGUGUAGCGGUGAAAUGCGUAGAUAUAGGAAGGAACAUCAGUGGCGAAGGCGGCUCACUGGACU